rnacentral:rRNA from 1 species
CGAGUUAUCUGAACCUUCGGGGAACGAUAACGGCGUCGAGCGGCGGACGGGUGAGUAAUGCCUAGGAAAUUGCCCUGAUGUGGGGGAUAACCAUUGGAAACGAUGGCUAAUACCGCAUGAUGCCUACGGGCCAAAGAGGGGGACCUUCGGGCCUCUCGCGUCAGGAUAUGCCUAGGUGGGAUUAGCUAGUUGGUGAGGUAAGGGCUCACCAAGGCGACGAUCCCUAGCUGGUCUGAGAGGAUGAUCAGCCACACUGGAACUGAGACACGGUCCAGACUCCUACGGGAGGCAGCAGUGGGGAAUAUUGCACAAUGGGCGCAAGCCUGAUGCAGCCAUGCCGCGUGUGUGAAGAAGGCCUUCGGGUUGUAAAGCACUUUCAGUCGUGAGGAAGGUAGUGUAGUUAAUAGCUGCAUUAUUUGACGUUAGCGACAGAAGAAGCACCGGCUAACUCCGUGCCAGCAGCCGCGGUAAUACGGAGGGUGCGAGCGUUAAUCGGAAUUACUGGGCGUAAAGCGCAUGCAGGUGGUUUGUUAAGUCAGAUGUGAAAGCCCGGGGCUCAACCUCGGAAUAGCAUUUGAAACUGGCAGACUAGAGUACUGUAGAGGGGGGUAGAAUUUCAGGUGUAGCGGUGAAAUGCGUAGAGAUCUGAAGGAAUACCGGUGGCGAAGGCGGCCCCCUGGACAGAUACUGACACUCAGAUGCGAAAGCGUGGGGAGCAAACAGGAUUAGAUACCCUGGUAGUCCACGCCGUAAACGAUGUCUACUUGGAGGUUGUGGCCUUGAGCCGUGGCUUUCGGAGCUAACGCGUUAAGUAGACCGCCUGGGGAGUACGGUCGCAAGAUUAAAACUCAAAUGAAUUGACGGGGGCCCGCACAAGCGGUGGAGCAUGUGGUUUAAUUCGAUGCAACGCGAAGAACCUUACCUACUCUUGACAUCCAGAGAACUUUCCAGAGAUGGAUUGGUGCCUUCGGGAACUCUGAGACAGGUGCUGCAUGGCUGUCGUCAGCUCGUGUUGUGAAAUGUUGGGUUAAGUCCCGCAACGAGCGCAACCCUUAUCCUUGUUUGCCAGCGAGUAAUGUCGGGAACUCCAGGGAGACUGCCGGUGAUAAACCGGAGGAAGGUGGGGACGACGUCAAGUCAUCAUGGCCCUUACGAGUAGGGCUACACACGUGCUACAAUGGCGCAUACAGAGGGCGGCCAACUUGCGAAAGUGAGCGAAUCCCAAAAAGUGCGUCGUAGUCCGGAUUGGAGUCUGCAACUCGACUCCAUGAAGUCGGAAUCGCUAGUAAUCGUGGAUCAGAAUGCCACGGUGAAUACGUUCCCGGGCCUUGUACACACCGCCCGUCACACCAUGGGAGUGGGCUGCAAAAGAAGUAGGUAGUUUAACCUUCGGGGGGACGCUUACCACUUUGUGGUUCAUGACUGGGGUGAAGUCGUAACAAGGUAGCGCUAGGGGAACCUGGCGCUG